rnacentral:rRNA from 1 species
ACGAACGCUGGCGGCGUGCUUAACACAUGCAAGUCGAACGGAAAGGCCCUGCUUUUGUGGGGUGCUCGAGUGGCGAACGGGUGAGUAACACGUGAGUAACCUGCCCUUGACUUUGGGAUAACUUCAGGAAACUGGGGCUAAUACCGGAUAGGAGCUCCUGCUGCAUGGUGGGGGUUGGAAAGUUUCGGCGGUUGGGGAUGGACUCGCGGCUUAUCAGCUUGUUGGUGGGGUAGUGGCUUACCAAGGCUUUGACGGGUAGCCGGCCUGAGAGGGUGACCGGAAAGAUGGGGAAAGAGAUACGGCACAGACUCAGAGGGGGGGAAGAAGGGGGGAAUAUGGAAAAAGGGGCGGAAGCGGAAGGCAGAACCGCGGGGGGGGGGAGGAGGGCUUGGGGGUUGUAAACCGCUUGCGCGGGUGAAGAGGGGGGAGGGAGGGAAGGGGAUAAAGAAAACCCGGAUAACAAGGUG